AAUGAGGCGAACCGGGGGAACUGAAACAUCUAAGUACCCCGAGGAAAAGAAAUCAACCGAGAUUCCCCCAGUAGCGGCGAGCGAACGGGGAGCAGCCCAGAGCCUGAAUCAGUGUGUGUGUUAGUGGAAGCGUCUGGAAAGGCGUGCGAUACAGGGUGACAGCCCCGUACACAAAAAUGCACAUGCUGUGAGCUCGAUGAGUAGGGCGGGACACGUGGUAUCCUGUCUGAAUAUGGGGGGACCAUCCUCCAAGGCUAAAUACUCCUGACUGACCGAUAGUGAACCAGUACCGUGAGGGAAAGGCGAAAAGAACCCCGGCGAGGGGAGUGAAAAAGAACCUGAAACCGUGUACGUACAAGCAGUGGGAGCACAGAGCAAUCUGUGUGACUGCGUACCUUUUGUAUAAUGGGUCAGCGACUUAUAUUCUGUAGCAAGGUUAACCGAAUAGGGGAGCCGAAGGGAAACCGAGUCUUAACUGGGCGUUAAGUUGCAGGGUAUAGACCCGAAACCCGGUGAUCUAGCCAUGGGCAGGUUGAAGGUUGGGUAACACUAACUGGAGGACCGAACCGACUAAUGUUGAAAAAUUAGCGGAUGACUUGUGGCUGGGGGUGAAAGGCCAAUCAAACCGGGAGAUAGCUGGUUCUCCCCGAAAGCUAUUUAGGUAGCGCCUCGUGAAUUCAUCUCCGGGGGUAGAGCACUGUUUCGGCAAGGGGGUCAUCCCGAC
rnacentral:rRNA from 1 species